GAUGAACGCUGGCGGCGUGCCUAAUACAUGCAAGUCGAGCGAACAGACGAGGAGCUUGCUCCUCUGACGUUAGCGGCGGACGGGUGAGUAACACGUGGAUAACCUACCUAUAAGACUGGGAUAACUUCGGGAAACCGGAGCUAAUACCGGAUAAUAUAUUGAACCGCAUGGUUCAUUAGUGAAAGACGGUUUUGCUGUCACUUAUAGAUGGAUCCUCGCCGCAUUAGCUAGUUGGUAAGGUAACGGCUUACCAAGGCAACGAUGCGUAGCCGACCUGAGAGGGUGAUCGGCCACACUGGAACUGAGACACGGUCCAGACUCCUACGGGAGGCAGCAGUAGGGAAUCUUCCGCAAUGGGCGAAAGCCUGACGGAGCAACGCCGCGUGAGUGAUGAAGGUCUUCGGAUCGUAAAACUCUGUUAUUAGGGAAGAACAAAUGUGUAAGUAACUAUGCACGUCUUGACGGUACCUAAUCAGAAAGCAACGGCUAACUACGUG
rnacentral:rRNA from 1 species